rnacentral:rRNA from 1 species
GCCAGCGAAGAUAGCACGUUAGUCCCCCUGGAUCACUGAAGUUAAGCAACGUUGCGCGUGGUUAGUACCUGGAUGGGUGACCCUCUGGGCAAUCGCGUGCUGCUGGGU